UGGCGUUGAAGCAAUUGGCGGGGUCAGUUGGUAUUACCUUCCGUUGAUUGUGGAGCCUGACCAAGGGUUUCGUGGCAUCCACGGACUGACUAGGCAAAAGCCGAAAGAAAACCACGAUAA
rnacentral:ncRNA from 1 species